GGGAGGGAAAAUACUGAAGUGUAAUAUUCCAGAGUUCUCUCUUGUCUGCUCUGACUCCUGCCAGCUGCCCUGCACCUAGAGGGACAGGAGGCUCUUCUCCGGGGCAUUGCAUGGCCGGGAGCCAAAUGAGCUGGCACCAGAAGCUGUGAACCACGAAGGGACGAUACCAGAGAACACCCUCAACCCAAAGGAAAUAGACUACAGCCCCAAUUGGCUGACUUUGGCUAUAGAAAAAAGAAAGGAACGAAAAGAGACAGUUUUUUUGGAAAGCUAAGUCUUCCCUUUAUCAAGUCAAGAAACCCCCCCUUCUUGAGCUAUUUACAGCUUUUAACAAUUGAGUAAAGUACGCUCCUGACACAAUUGGAGAAACUGGUUAUUUAACAAGGGUUUGACUGGAGUGGCAUGCUUUCAAAUAUAAACAGACUUCUUUAAGGAAUUAAAGUUGACUAAUAGAGCCAAUAAAAGCCUCUUGGAAAAA
rnacentral:sRNA from 1 species